GAAAUGCGAUAAGUAAUGUGAAUUGCAGAAUUCAGUGAAUCAUCGAAUCUUUGAACGCACAUUGCGCCCGCCAGUAUUCUGGCGGGCAUGCCUGUCCGAGCGUCAUUUCAACCAUCAAGCCCCCGGGCUUGUGUUGGAGACCUGCGGCUGCCCGCAGGCCCUGAAAACCAGUGGCGGGCUCGCUGUCACACCGAGCGUAGUAGCAAUCACCUCGCUCAGGGCGUGCUGCGGGUUCCGGCCGUUAAACAGCCUUACAAAACCCAAGGUUGACCUCGGAUCAGGUAGGAAGACCCGCUGAACUUAAGC
rnacentral:misc_RNA from 1 species